rnacentral:misc_RNA from 1 species
GUGAGUCAUCGAAUCUUUGAACGCACAUUGCGCCCGCCAGUAUUCUGGCGGGCAUGCCUGUUCGAGCGUCAUUUCAACCCUCAAGCACAGCUUGGUGUUGGGACUCGCGUUAAUUCGCGUUCCUCAAAUUGAUUGGCGGUCACGUCGAGCUUCCAUAGCGUAGUAGUAAAACCCUCGUUACUGGUAAUCGUCGCGGCCACGCCGUUAAACCCCAACUUCUGAAUGUUGACCUCGGAUCAGGUAGGAAUACCCGCUGAACUUAAGCAUAUCAAUAAGCGGAGGA